rnacentral:rRNA from 1 species
GAUGAACGCUGGCGGCGUGCUUAAUACAUGCAAGUCGAGCGAACGGACGAGAAGCUUGCUUCUCUGAUGUUAGCGGCGGACGGGUGAGUAACACGUGGAUAACCUACCUAUAAGACUGGGAUAACUUCGGGAAACCGUAGCUAAUACCGGAUAAUAUUUUGAACCGCAUAGUUCAAAAGUGAAAGACGGUCUUGCUGUCACUUAUAGAUGGAUCCGCGCUGCAUUAGCUAGUUGGUAAGGUAACGGCUUACCAAGGCAACGAUGCAUAGCCGACCUGAGAGGGUGAUCGGCCACACUGGAACUGAGACACGGUCCAGACUCCUACGGGAGGCAGCAGUAGGGAAUCUUCGGCAAUGGGCGAAAGCCUGACGGAGCAACGCCGCGUGAGUGAUGAAGGUCUUCGGAUCGUAAAACGCUGUUAUUAGGGAAGAACAUAUGUGUAAGAAACUGUGCACAUCUUGACGGUACCUGAUCAGAAAGCCACGGCUAACUACGUG